CAAGGCGACGACGGGUAGCUGGUCUGAGAGGAUGGUCAGCCACAAUGGCACUGAGACACGGGCCAUACACCUACGGGUGGCGCAGUCGGGAAUUUUGGACAAUGGGCGAAAGCCUGAUCCAGCGACGCCGCGUGGAGGAUUGAAGGCCUUCGGGUCGUAAACUCCUUUUGCAGCAGAAGAUUAUGACGGUAUGCUGCGAAUAAGCACUUGCUAACUACGUGCCAGAAGCCUCGGUAUGCGUAGAGUGCAAGCGUUAUCCGGAUUUACUGGGCGUAAAGAGUUGCGUAGGCGGCUCGACGCAUUCUGUUUGAAAUGCCUCGACUCAAUCGAGGAUUUGGACAGAAGAUGGUCGAGCUAGAGGGAAAGAGAGGGUGCUGGAACCAAUCGUGGAGCAGUGAAAUGCGUUGAUAUGAUUGGGAACACCAAAGGCGUAGGCAGGCACCUAACUUUCUCCUGACGCUGAGGCACGAAAGCUAGGGGAGCGAAGCAGAUUAGAGACCUGCGUAGUCCUAGUCGUAAACAAUCCCUGCUAGAUAGUCUGAUGUAUAUUGGACUGUCGUAGCUAACGCGUUAAGCAGGGCGCCUGGGGAGUACGAGCGCAAGCUUAAAACUCAAAGGAAUUGACGGGGACCCGCACAAGCAGUGGAGCGUGUGGUUUAAUUCGAUACAAAGCGAAAAACCUCACCAGGGCUUGACAUGCACCCUGCAGUCCGGUGAAAGCCGGAUGAUCUUUCGAGGGUGGUGCACAGAUGCUGCAUGGCUGUCGUCAGCUCGUGGCGUGAGCUGUACCCUUAAGUGGGA
rnacentral:rRNA from 1 species